rnacentral:rRNA from 1 species
UGCUAUACAUGCAAGUAGAACGCUGAAGAGAGGAGCUUGCUCUUCUUGGAUGAGUUGCGAACGGGUGAGUAACGCGUAGGUAACCUGCCUUGUAGCGGGGGAUAACUAUUGGAAACGAUAGCUAAUACCGCAUAACAAUGGAUGACACAUGUCAUUUAUUUGAAAGGGGCAAUUGCUCCACUACAAGAUGGACCUGCGUUGUAUUAGCUAGUAGGUGAGGUAACGGCUCACCUAGGCGACGAUACAUAGCCGACCUGAGAGGGUGAUCGGCCACACUGGGACUGAGACACGGCCCAGACUCCUACGGGAGGCAGCAGUAGGGAAUCUUCGGCAAUGGGGGCAACCCUGACCGAGCAACGCCGCGUGAGUGAAGAAGGUUUUCGGAUCGUAAAGCUCUGUUGUAAGUCAAGAACGAGUGUGAGAGUGGAAAGUUCACACUGUGACGGUAGCUUACCAGAAAGGGACGGCUAACUACGUGCCAGCAGCCGCGGUAAUACGUAGGUCCCGAGCGUUGUCCGGAUUUAUUGGGCGUAAAGCGAGCGCAGGCGGUUUGAUAAGUCUGAAGUUAAAGGCUGUGGCUCAACCAUAGUUCGCUUUGGAAACUGUCAAACUUGAGUGCAGAAGGGGAGAGUGGAAUUCCAUGUGUAGCGGUGAAAUGCGUAGAUAUAUGGAGGAACACCGGUGGCGAAAGCGGCUCUCUGGUCUGUAACUGACGCUGAGGCUCGAAAGCGUGGGGAGCGAACAGGAUUAGAUACCCUGGUAGUCCACGCCGUAAACGAUGAGUGCUAGGUGUUGGAUCCUUUCCGGGAUUCAGUGCCGCAGCUAACGCAUUAAGCACUCCGCCUGGGGAGUACGACCGCAAGGUUGAAACUCAAAGGAAUUGACGGGGGCCCGCACAAGCGUGGGAGCAUGUGGUUUAAUUCGAAGCAA